AUGCCUGUAGCCAGCCUGCACCCCUGCACGGUGCCCAAAUGCUUGCACGGUCCCGAAACCCAAGACCCGGGUUCAUCUCUGGACGCCUGCUGCAGCCCUGCCCCGAGCCCAGAGCCCUGCAAGGGCUCCGGAUUCACCUUCAGCAGCUACAGCAUGGAGUGGGUGCGACAGGCGCCCGGGAAGGGGCUUCAGUACGUUGCGGCUAUUACCAGCGAUGGUAGUAGCACAGGCUACGCGUCGGCGGUCAAAGGGCGCUUCACCGUCUCCAAGGACAACUCCCGGAGCACGCUCACGCUGCAGAUGAACAGCCUGAAGGGCGAAGACACGGCCACCUACUACUGCGCCAAAAGUGCUGAUGCUGGUACAUGCACUGACCACGGCACCGUGCCCCAACAGCCCCGCGCUGGGUCCCCAAAUCCCAGCAUCUUCCUGAAGCCCCUGCACCCAGCCUGGAGCCCUGCAGAAGCGUGA